rnacentral:rRNA from 1 species
CGCACCUUGCACCUUUUGGUAUUCCGAAAGGUAUGCCCGGUUGAGUAUUAUGAACAUCUCAAUCCUCUGGCUUCUGAUCGCAAAGGUCGUGGCAUUUGGCGAAGUCGUCUGUCGGGACGACGGUAGCUGAAGUGCGACUUGGAAGCCUGUUGGACUUAGGACUUGAGCGACACGUCGGUCCUCCACGAACUCGACCCGCUUGAAAUGUAUUAGCUGGCGACCCGCCUUACGGUUCCACUCGGCGUAGUAAGUUCUAUUCGUCGAGGACGCCUCUUUGAGGUGGCCGAAAGCGCGUGUUUGGAAGCCGCUUCCAAUCGUCUUUGGACGCUUUGAAUCUUUAAUCUCAACUCGGGUAGGACUACCCGCUGAACUUAA